rnacentral:lncRNA from 1 species
AUUUUGAAUUUUGAAUUUUGAAUUUUAAAUUUUAAAUUAUUAUUUUUAAUUUUUUUAAAUUAUAAAUUUGACAUUUUAUAUUUGUAACUUUAAAUUUUUAAAUUUGAGAUUUAAAAAUAAAAUUUUAAAUUUUAAAUUUUAAAUUAUUAUUUUUAAUUAUUUAAAAUUUAAAUUUAAAUUCAAAUAUAAAAAUUGGGACCAAAUUAUUAUUUUGUAUUUAUAAUAAUUCACUAUCCUUCUUAUUCCACCUACUCUAAUCAAACACUAUUUUAUCUAUACCCGCAUUAAAACCAAUUUUCAACCAAAUACAAAAUUAUUCUAAUCCCACCUUAAUCCUGAACUUAACUCUAUUUCUAGAAUAACUAGUUCUUACUUAACCCUGAACCAAACGAAGCCCAAAGAAAAUUAAAUAAUGUUAGAAGUUACGUUUGAUAGAAUUCGAAUUCAAAACAUCAUGGUCUGUUGUCAUAUUAAAUUAUAUAAAAUAACUAUUUAUCUCUAAAAGAUUAUGCCACUAAAGAAAUGUUUAUAUAUAUAUAUAUAUAUAGGACUUUUUUAUAAAACAACCCUCUAAAAUUUUGAAAUUUGUAAAAUAACCCUCUCAAAAUUUUAUUUGGCAAACUAACCCUCCUUUCGCCAUGUCGGCGCCACGUCAGAAUUUUUUUUAAAGGCGGUGAAUCGUUCACCGCUUUCUCCCAUUUCUUUUAAAAGCGGUGAAUCGUUCACCGCUUUCUCCUAUUUCUUUAAAGACGGUGAAUCAUUCACCACCUUUCACUUAUUCACUAUUUCUUUCUAUAUCCCAUAUAUAAUCCCAACAACCACAUAAAAAUUCUAACAAAUCAUAUAUAAUCUUAACAACCUUUAAAUCCUAAUAAUUUAUCCAUAUAAUUUCAUAUAAUCUUAACAGCCUGAAAAUCCUAAUAAUCUAUCUAUACAAUCCUAAUAAUCAAAUAAAAAUUCUAAUGAUCCACAUAUAAUCCUAACAACCUCACUUUUUUCUAUUUCCUAUAUAAUUCACGCACAAUUUUAAUGAAUGCGGUGAACGAUUUACCGCUUUAAAAGAAAUAGGAGAAAGCGGUGAACGAUUCACCGCUUUUAAAAGAAAUGGGAGAAAGCGGUGAACGAUUCACCGCCUUUAAAAUAAAAUUAAAUAAAUUAAAAAUUUUAAAUGUGUCGAUUAAUAAGUUGAAAAAUUAUUGAAAAAUAUAAAAAUAUUAUAUAUAUCUACUUAUUUAUUUAUAAAUAGUAAUUUAAAUAAUUAAUAAAUUUAUACAAUUAUUUUAUGUUUAGUGAAGGUAACCUCACCACUCUAUCUGAACAGGUGACAAAAUUCAUAAAUACAACUAUCAGCUUCAUAUUACCAAACAGAAGAAAUGUAACUGCAGCAGUUGCAACUGCGUAAAACCAAACAGACUAGGUGUAGUUACAACUGCAGCAUUUGCAACUGCAUAUAUUUCCAACUACACUGUUUCUGCAACUACAUCCAACCAAACGGCCCCUAAGAGUAUUAUUUAAUCCUAGGGGAGACCGCAAUCAUCCCAACCAUACAAUUUUUAAUCAAAAGUCAAAAAUUCAAAAACAUCAAAUCCUUAUAUUUUCGAUAGCAUAGUAUAUAUAUAUAUAGAGUCCGGCUACUAUACUAUUGAUAGUACAAGCCUUUGGUACUAUAGAGUUUUCUACCGUUAGAUCUACCCUGUGAUUAUUUCCACCCGUUAGAUUAUACUAUUAAACCAACCACCCACUCAACCCUAGGAGACCACUAUCAUCCUAACCGCACAUCCUUUCAUCCAACAGCCAAAAACUCAAUA